UACAUGGGGUGCAAACGUUGCUCGGAAUUAUUGGGCGUAAAGCGCGCGUAGGCGGUUACUUAAGUCGGAUGUGAAAGCCCUCGGCUUAACUGAGGAAGUGCAUCCGAAACUGAGUAGCUAGAGUACGAAAGAGGGUCGCGGAAUUCCCGGUGUAGAGGUGAAAUUCGUAGAUAUCGGGAGGAACACCGGUGGCGAAGGCGGUUCUCUGGGCCUGUACUGACGCUGAGGAACGAAAGCGUGGGGAGCGAACAGG
rnacentral:rRNA from 1 species